UACGGGGGGGGCAAGCGUUGUUCGGAAUUACUGGGUGUAAAGGGCUCGUAGGCGGCCAACUAAGUCAUACGUGAAAUCCCUCGGCUUAACCGGGGAACUGCGUCUGAUACUGGAUGGCUUGAGUUCGGGAGAGGGAUGCGGAAUUCCAGGUGUAGCGGUGAAAUGCGUAGAUAUCUGGAGGAACACCGGUGGCGAAGGCGGCAUCCUGGACCGAUACUGACGCUGAGGAGCGAAAGCCAGGGGAGCAAACGGG
rnacentral:rRNA from 1 species